rnacentral:rRNA from 1 species
GACCACCAGCUCCCCCAGCUCGCCUACGGUCGGCAGCACUCCCUAGAUCGCGAGUUCCCUCAACUAUUCUGCCCACGCUGGCACGCUCCGGUGGCCGCCAGGUCCCCUAGGUCGGUUCCGCUCCGCGGCCUCCCCUAGGCCACGAUCUCGCCGACGUAGGUCCCUUGAGAAACACCCGUUGGACAAGAAGAGGUACCACGAGGUCGUUGACGUGUUCCUCCAGCCCGGAGAUAACCACGAGACGUCUUAAGUCUAACCUCCACUACCUCCCGUGACAUGUUCUCUCCUGUACACAUACCCGUUGUUGUCAUGUAGUCGAUUACAACAACCGCCACCAGUUGACUAAACUCGUAUAAACAUCUGACCGUCCGCGCGCGGACAUGACGGACUCAGUGGUGACCUCUCUCCUAGACUCUCCUCUGCCCGUCUACGAGGUCUGCUAAGACAUGUAACUCGUCGAAGGAGAAGUAGAUAUGGGUUAUAGAGAUAAAGCUUUACAAGUGUAUGAACCAAGAGAGGGUACACUGUACACUGAUUUUGAUUUUAAUUAUACACGUUGACUGUUACCCCGUAGAGUGCUCUUACCUUUAAUUAUCAGCAGUAUCAUCGUACCUACGGUAUCCCAAUAAAAAGUAGGGGUAAGUUCAUAAUCAAUAAGGUUCGAAGAAUCGAGAUAUUAAACCAUUAGGAUGAUUGUAGUGAAUUAACUUUAUAAAAAACAAAAAGAAUACGAGGCGAACGUCCAUUGUUACAUGGACUUUUCAGUUUAUACGUUGGAAAGUGAGUUUCGGGAAUUUUUAUUUGACCGUUCUUAAACCAUAUAUAUAAAACAUUAAUUUAAAGACAGAAUAUGACGUUGAAUAUAAUAGUUGUAAAAAAGUACUCAAUUUAAAGGAAAUGAACUUUUGCUCGGUGGAAAAGAUUGUGUCAUUUCGAUACAAAUCUUCAAAAGUGAUUAAUUGAAAACUUCCCUAGACUUUGAUCCAAUGGGUGAUAGUGUUUAUUACUUACGUAGACAUGUUAUAAGUCAACCCAUGGAAGAAAAUCAAACUGAAAGUAUUAAAACUGUUAAAAAAAUUAACUUGAUACCUAACAAUAACAACAAGGUACAUAAACAAUACGUGAUAACAGGGUGGAAUACAAUGAACGGUUAUAACGUUUUGUAUACAAAACCACCUCGAUAGAGUCACUGGAACCAUACUAAAAUGGAACAUAUCAUGUUAAACCUAUCUUUAUAGUAUACAUUAGUCAUUCAAACUUAAAUUCAAAAGACAAAUAUAAAGUAAACAAAGGAGUUUCCAACUUAAGUGUUCUAUUAGGAUAAAAGGUUCUCUGGAAAAGUAGCGGAGGUCUGUACACAAAGAGACAUUCAUGAUUUGACCAAACCUUUAAAAAUAAACACCAGACAGAUCCUACAGUUUAGUAAAAGACAUACUAUCAUAAUAGACUAGUACCCUUUUACUGUGUGAAAAAGUAAUGGUCUAUACAAUAGAAUGGUAAUUGACAUGAUUUAGACUACCAGAAUUAACCACUAAUCUAAUGAGGUACCGGACGAUCGAAAACCCCUCUUUUAAUAUUGACUAGUCUAAAUUUUUUUAAGAUUGGUAAAGGUACCCUUGUUCCCUAAUGCAUACAGCAACGAAAUGGACCAUGGUAAACAAACAUCGGUGUCGGGUGUUGAUCUUUUUUUUCAUAGAAGUAUAAAAUACUCCAAAGAACUGACAACGUUUAUAACCGUAAGUCAGUUACAAGAUCCGAUGAACGUAUGUUCCAGAAAGAAGAAGAUUUUCAACAAAAAACGAUCCUUUGUCGGAUGACAGUGUAUAUUAUAAAACUGUACGGGAGUGAUUGGAUUAAGCAAUGGAAAACUAUGGCGUUGUUUAAACUUUUCUACAUUUCAUUCACACUAACUGUUGAGGAUGCUCGAAAGAUUAAGCUGAGCACAGAUGGAGUCAUAUUUCAACAUACAGUCGCGAGAAAGGUUAAAUAAGGGUAAAAGUUCUCUUACCCAUUUCAUCGAGGGAACACAUGUUACAUAAAGAAACCGGCAUGACAAUAGCGAACAUACAGCAGUCAAAUAAUACCUGGUUGAUAAUUUUUAUAACAUAAAAAAUCACUUACGUAUACAGCUCAUAUGUAUAACAUGAUGGUAAUAAAAAAUAUAUUAAUAUGAAUUCUUCAAAUUUUUAUAUAAAUA